rnacentral:lncRNA from 1 species
AGGGCUGGGCAAAUAAACCGAACCCGAAAACCCGAACCGAAUCCGAUCCGAUAAAAAUGAAUCCGAACCGAUCCGAACCCGACGUAAAUACCGAAUGGGUCUUGUUUUGUGGUAUUUCGGGUUAUGAGUAUUAUCCGAACCGAACCCGAAUGUAAAUGGAUAUCCGAUAGAACCCGAAACAUUCAAAACCUCGAAAAGAUCUUGUACCAAACAUGAUCUCAAUUCCUAAUAUGUAUCCAAAAUACACUAAGAAAUAUUGAACAUCUAAAAUACUUAUCUAUUACAUGAAGGUUGUUGGUUCUAUUACAUGAAGGUUGAUGGAUAAAGAUGGCCGUUGAAUCUUGAAGUAUUUAGAUUUUGAUUUUGUUUUCGUUAAACAAUGUUUCUCAUUUCAUGAGAACUUGGUUUUCGUUUUAUGUUUUUAUUUAUUUAGUUUUCUUUUAUGUUCCUUAUUUUUGAAUCGAUUUUACUUAAGUUUUGGUUACAAAAUAGGUACAAAUCAGAUAUUUUAAAACUAAAGAACCGAUUUUAGUCAUGUUUUGGUUAUAAAAUAGGUAAAAAUCAAGUACUUUUAAACCGAAAAAACCGAUUGGGA